rnacentral:lncRNA from 1 species
CCUUUGUCGUAACCAGAAUAAAUCAAUUGAUUAUCUUUCAAUGCAAUACCAUAACUUUUUGAAUCCAGUAAAUUAGUUUUCUUGAUUUGUUUUCUCUUUAUGUCUAUAAUGGUAAUACCAUGCGUACUUGAAUAAUCAGAUGUAACAGCCAAUGUAUUGUUCUCACUAUUGUACACUACAUCACACGGGUUAUGCGGUAUCUUCACCUCAAAGUCUUUUGAUCCUUUAUCGUUGAAUACUUUUACUCUCUGUUCAUAGUCGUAAGUGAAUGCCAAUUGACCAUCCGGUAGAAUGCAACAUCCAUGAACGUGUUCUCCUUGAGUGUUGAUAGUUUUGUGUAUUGUUAGCUCAAUAUUUUCAAUAGAUCUUGAUUGAACGGCUUUCUUUAACACACUUGCUGCAGCAGGGACAUUGAUGCUUUUGACAGUAUAUCUGAAACUUUUCGUCGUGUUUGCUACAAUACUGAGUAUUUUUUAAUACAUCAAUUGGUAAUUUAUGGUAAUCAUUAAUAGGUAUCACGUUAUGAUUUCUCAAUGCUUUUGACAAACUGUGAUGUUCCUGACAUUCUGUACAUAGUCCCUCGUCACAUUCUGUACACUAGACU